CGAACGAGCAAGGAAGUUUUCGGAUGGAAUUGCUGAGUGGCGGACGGGUGAGUAACGCGUGGGUACCUGCCUCACACUGGGGGACAACAGUUAGAAAUGACUGCUAAUACCGCAUAAGACCGCAUGGUAAAAACUCCGGUGGUGUGAGAUGGACCCGCGUUUGAUUAGCUAGUUGGUGGGGUAACGGCCUACCAAGGCGACGAUCAAUAGCCGACCUGAGAGGGUGACCGGCCACAUUGGGAUUGAGACACGGCCCAAACUCCUACGGGAGGCAGCAGUGGGGAAUAUUGCACAAUGGGGGAAACCCUGAUGCAGCGACGCCGCGUGAGUGAAGAAGUAUUUCGGUAUGUAAAGCUCUAUCAGCAGGGAAGAAAAUGACGGUACCUGACUAAGAAGCCCCGGCUAACUACGUGCCAGCAGCCGCGGUAAUACGUAGGGGGCAAGCGUUAUCCGGAUUUACUGGGUGUAAAGGGAGCGUAGACGGUAAAGCAAGUCUGAAGUGAAAGCCCGGGGCUCAACCCCGGGACUGCUUUGGAAACUGUUUAACUAGAGUGCUGGAGAGGUAAGCGGAAUUCCUAGUGUAGCGGUGAAAUGCGUAGAUAUUAGGAGGAACACCAGUGGCGAAGGCGGCUUACUGGACAGUAACUGACGUUGAGGCUCGAAAGCGUGAGGAGCAAACAGGAUUAGAUACCCUGGUAGUCCACGCCGUANACGAUGAAUACUAGGUGUUGGGGGAAAAUCCUUCGGUGCCGUCGCAAACGCAAUAAGUAUUCCACCUGGGGAGUACGUUCGCAAGAAUGAAACUCAA
rnacentral:rRNA from 1 species